rnacentral:rRNA from 1 species
UACGUAGGGGGCAAGCGUUGUUCGGAAUUACUGGGCGUAAAGGGCGCGUAGGCGGCCUGCUAAGUCGAACGUGAAAUCCCCGAGCUCAACUCGGGAACUGCGUCCGAUACUGGCAGGCUUGAAUCCGGGAGAGGGAUGCGGAAUUCCAGGUGUAGCGGUGAAAUGCGUAGAUAUCGGGAGGAACACCUGAGGCGAAGGCGGGCUACUGGGCCGAUACUGACGCUGAUGCGCGAAAGCCAGGGGAGCAAACGGG